rnacentral:rRNA from 1 species
CUCGACUACAUGAAGCUGGAAUCGCUAGUAAUCGCGAAUCAGAAUGUCGCGGUGAAUACGUUCCCGGGUCUUGUACACACCGCCCGUCACACCAUGGGAGUCAGUAACGCCCGAAGCCGGUGACCCAACCAAACGGAGGGAGCCGUCGAAGGUGGGACCGAUAACUGGGGUGAAGUCGUAACAAGGUACC